rnacentral:snRNA from 1 species
UUGCUUCAGUAGCACAUAUAUUAAAACUGGAAUGAUACAGAGAAGGUUAGCAUGCCCCCUGCACAAAGACGACAUGCUAAUUCAUGAAGCAUUUUACACACAC